rnacentral:lncRNA from 1 species
CCUGGCUGCAGCGCCGCGUUGCAGCCGGCAGGGGGCGCCAGCGGGUCACUACAGAGCCCCCCGCCCCUUUCCGGGGUCCGAGGUGGCGCGGGGGCUCCGGCCGGCCGAGAUCAACCCGUCCCCAUGGAUCUCUUAACAGCCAAGAGGUUCAUACUUUAUAGGAAAGUACACAAGAAAAUAGAUUUCUGAAAGAUGUCCCUCCUGUGUACAAGAAGGAUGUCCCAGAUGCUCGGUGUGUUUUAGUUUCUGCUCCAGAAAGGCAAAUGUAUGCCAACACAGAGAUAAUCCUGGGAAACGUGCCCUACUGCUGGUUUUACCUAUGCAGCAUACAUGAUCUGCCUUUAUCCAUAAACAACUAUUAACAGCAUAUCACAUCUGAGUUUAUGAAGACCUUUACCUAGUAUGUGU